rnacentral:rRNA from 1 species
AAUGAACGCUGGCGGCGUGCAUAACACAUGCAAGUCGAACGAGAAACCCCGGGCUUGCUCGGGGGAGUAAAGUGGCGCACGGGUGAGUAACGCGUGGGUAACCUACCUCUGAAUCUGGAAUAACUUCGCGAAAGCGUUGCUAAUACCGGAUAUUGUCCUUUGAACUGCGGUUCUUGGGAUGAAAGGUGACCUCUUCUUGAAAGUUGCCGUUCGGGGAUGGGCCCGCGUACCAUUAGCUAGUUGGUAGGGUAAUAGCCUACCAAGGCGAGGAUGGGUAGCUGGUCUGAGAGGAUGACCAGCCACACUGGCACUGAAACACGGGCCAGACUCCUACGGGAGGCAGCAGUGAGGAAUCUUGCGCAAUGGGGGAAACCCUGACGCAGCAACGCCGCGUGAGCGAAGAAGGCCUUCGGGUCGUAAAGCUCUGUCUAGUGGGAAAAAAGUCCUGGUGUAAAUAGCUCCAGGAUCUGAUGGUACCGCUGGAGGAAGCACCGGCUAACUCCGUGCCAGCCGCCGCAGUAAGAC